rnacentral:rRNA from 1 species
CGGGAGGCAGCAGUGGGGAAUAUUGCACAAUGGGGGAAACCCUGAUGCAGCCAUGCCGCGUGUGUGAAGAAGGCCUUCGGGUUGUAAAGCACUUUCAGUAGGGAGGAAGGUAGUGUAGUUAACACCUGCACUAUUUGACGUUACCUACAGAAGAAGCACCGGCUAACUCCGUGCCAGCAGCCGCGGUAAUACGGAGGGUGCGAGCGUUAAUCGGAAUUACUGGGCGUAAAGCGCAUGCAGGCGGCCUGUUAAGUCAGAUGUGAAAGCCCCGGGGCUUAACCUCGGAAUUGCAUUUGAAACUGGCAGGCUAGAGUCUUGUAGAGGGGGUAGAAUUUCAGGUGUAGCGGUGAAAUGCGUAGAGAUCUGAAGGAAUACCAGUGGCGAAGGCGGCCCCCUGGACAAAGACUGACGCUCAGAUGCGAAAGCGUGGGGAGCAAACAGGAUUAGAUACCCUGGUAG